CACAGAACCAAGGCCCACAGCUGGAGCCGUGGCAGAUGCUGAGUGACAAUCUUCCUCUUGUGGCUGAACAGGAAUCAGUGUGCAGAUUUCAGACCUUUAUGUUUGCUCUGCAUUGAGACAUGGAUCAUCAGAACCAGAUUGGGAACAACUUUGAAGUUUUCAAAGUGAUUUUGUAGUGGCAGCCUUGCAUCAGAAUAAUUCUCAAGCCUUUUUCACCCAUGGAGGAUAUGUUGAUACUGCCGCUUCCACCUUGGGAAACGUGACAAGAGGCGUCAUUGCCUGCCACCUCAACUAUGCAUCCAAGCUUGGAAGUGGCUGGAGGCAGAGGAUGGGAAGCUGUCACACAGGAAAAAGCCUUGCAGCAUCAAUUCUCUUCGGUGACAGAGCCACUGGAACAAAUUCUACUGGACAUUUUUGUGACAUAUUAUUUGGGGUGAUUAGAGUAUCACAAGCGGUGACAGAAUGCAGAUUUGGAAAACAGAAGAAAAGUCCCACUUAGACAACUUAAGGCACAAUCUGCUCUUAAGCACUUCCUCCCAAUAGCGUGCUGCUGUUCGAAUAUUUGCACUGGGCCAAG